AAACUUACAGAGCAUCAGAACACACGUGAUCACGAAGGCGUAGUUCUCGAGGUGACGUGGACUAGCACUAGGUCCAAUGUACCUUGCGCUUGGUCUCGAAUGAGCGCAGCGGAUGCUGAAUUUUUGAUAGUCUCGGGGUAGACCUGCAUUAACGCUUGUCAACCCCUC